rnacentral:tRNA from 1 species
CACUCCAUAGUGUAAUGGUUAGCACCUCUGCUUUACACGCAGAAGGUCCUGGGUUCGCACCCCAGGUGGAGUCA